AUCAGCAUCAGCUGCAGCGACCGGGACUGGCUGGCUCUCCCUGCUCCAAGGCGCUAGCACGCCCGUCAGUUACUCCCGCAGCAGAGCAGGUUAUUUUUAGCAGCCCACCCUUCUGCACCGGCUCCUCUUAAAGGCGGCGAUGCAUCCCUGCCGGUCCUAAGAGGAUGCCAGGCGCGCGCGGCUGAGGCGUGCAUGCGUACAUGCAGAUAUAAGGUUCCCCGCCAUCGCCGCUUGUUGGAAAGCCAGCCGAGACAAAGGUAGACAGGGCUGGGAAACCAGGGCGAGGGCGUGUAGUGAACCGGAGGGACACAGCGGAGACUUCUUUCCUGUAGUCCGCCUUGUCUGCUCUCAAAGCUCGAAUGUGCCUGCAGAUGGACUAUCGAUUUGAUCAUCAUCAUCAUCGCAUGAUCGCAAUGACUUCAAUAGGAUUGGGCACGCUGAGGCCAAGUACCUGCCUUUUGUCUCUGCAACUGCAACGCCUUUCCGCCUUUCCUUUCCUAGGGCCGUUUCACGCCUUGCAAAACCAGGCCUGUGCAAACACGUAUAUCACGAAACUGCACUCCAUGCACAUCGUUGGAUUUUUCUACCCUGGUGGCAACCCUUAAAAAGAAAAGAAGCAGGGAUGCUGUGCUGCAUCCUGAGAGCGCACGUGCAAGCCUUGACCCUAUGCGGAGCCUCAGAUGCUCAGAAGCCCACCUUGCCCACUGUCCACGCUCACAAUGUUUGUCUGAAGAGAGAAGCGGCGUGACCGCUGGAAGAUUUCCCCGAAUGGAAGACAGGCUUUUUUUCCCCACGGAAGAGGGCUCUUGACUAUGAAGCAACAAUGCAGAGGGAGAAGUCAUUGGAGGGGAGGGGAGGAAAGAGUGACAGGGCAGCUCAAUGCAUUACUGAGCAAUCCAUCCACCAAUGAAGGCUUCAGAAGGCCUGCCCUGCCUGCAGGAGGAGCAACUCUUUUCUGCUUGAGGAAGCUGGCCUUGAGAAUCUGCGUUCAGCCCCGCAGCGCCCAUUUUAAAAAAAUACAUUCAAUGUACGCAUUGCUAGAAUUCUUUGCAUGCUGCUGAAUUUAUUUCUCCUGAUUGGUGCUCUCCUUUUUUUAGCUGUAAUAAAUUUGUGUGAAUUCAGGUAACAAACAGGGCUUUAAAAAAACAAAAACACCUAUGCAAUCAGUCACAAAAUGUGUACUGGCUGCCAAGAAAAUAUGUGCAGUUCCAAAGAAAGGAACUUUGGUCAAUACAAACAUUAAACUAAUUUAAAAAGUUGUAUUAUGUUAGCUGAUGUGAAAAACACACACAACCCUGCUAACAAUAUGAAAGUAAACAAACCCUGCUAACAAUAUGAAAGUAAACAAACCCUGCUAACAAUAUGAAAGUAAAAUGAGUAGUCCAGACUCCUAUAGAACCCCAGAUUCUGACAUUACAAGCAAUCAUUCUCAUAAUGGAAUAUCUGAAGCCAAAUUGUAGUAGAUCAUGCUUAAAGGUGCUUAUACAAAUUUAUUUGUCUUGUCUAUAUAGCUAUCAUUGUCCAGACUUUAUACAAUGAAUUCUCUGGGGGAAAGAUUCUCAGAACAUCAGCAGAGUUCCUUUCUAAUAAUCAGAAUGCCUAGGUUGACGAGACAAACCCCGUUCCACAAGAUUAGAAAGAGAAGUCCUGGUGCCCUCCUGAAUGAACAGCCCCCCUCAUGAUAAAGGCGUGCACCAGGAGAGCAUCGGCAUGUAUGCAGAGGGCAUUCUGACUGUUGCACUCUCAGCUCCAUGAUCGUGGACAGACCUGUGAUUGCAAGGAUGAAUUGCUUCACCCUCACAUUUCCAGGUCCACCUACCAUCACUGAGGGGGCUUUUCCUGCUUCAAGCAAGCCCCGUCAGACCCAUGAGCAAUGGGGCGUGGAGAUUGGUGCAGCAGGGUGGGACUUCCUCUCCCUUCACCCCACUGCUCAUGGCUACAGUGAGCCUUCAGACUAAUGUCUGAAGGAGCCUAUACUUAGAACAGAAACAGGGUUGUCUGAGACAAAUAAAAGAUUUUUUAUUCAAUAAUUCUGCUUCUGACUAUCCUAGUCUAGGCACCUCGGUUAAAUUUCUAGAUACCAUGGCUCCCUGGUGCCUGAGAUUUGUCAAACCCUGGACUAGAAUGUAUAUUUAAUUUACUUUUCUGACAAGAAUUAACUUGUAUCUUCUGUUUUCUAAUCCUGCAUUAACAACAUUCUUGCAUGUCCACAAAUAGCUCACAAGUGACUCCAAGGUGUUGUUAGUGUCAUGAAUGGAAAAAUGUCCUUUGCCUCUAGGGAUGAAGAACAGUGUUAUUAUUCAAACCAGAAUACUGAAGAGGCCUCUGUGAUAUGAAGGUUUAAAGAGAUUGCAUACAAAUGGGGAGAAAGAGCCAAAGUACACCUUCAGAUAUCUCAUAUGAUCACACAUUUGACUGCAUCCAGCAUAAAACUGUACAUUAAGAAAGGUAGCAUAUCCAGAAGGCUAGGUAUGAUCGCACAAGAAUCAAUAACUUAGUGGAAGCUAACUAAAUCAGUGUCUGUUCAAUUCCUGGAUGGAAGACUGCCUUUGAACCUGUGUUCAAAAGAAACCAUUCUGAGUUCCAAGAGCGGGAGUGGAAUAUACAUGUAAUACAAACCCUUCUCUCUGAAAUGCUUGAAUUCUCUUUUUUUGCUACUACUCUGACAACAAAUAUUUAUAUACCACUCUUCAACCAAGUUCGCAGAGCGGUUUAUUGGAAAAAUAAACACAUUCUCUGGAAGAACGUA